UACGUAGGGUGCGAGCGUUGUCCGGAAUUACUGGGCGUAAAGAGCUCGUAGGUGGUUUGUCGCGUUGUCCGUGAAAACUCACAACUCAAUUGUGGGCGUGCGGGCGAUACGGGCAGACUGGAGUACUGCAGGGGAGACUGGAAUUCCUGGUGUAGCGGUGGAAUGCGCAGAUAUUGGGAGGAACACCGGUGGCGAAGGCGGCCCCCUGGACCGGUACUGACGCUGAGGCGCGAAAGCGUGGGUAGCAAACGGG
rnacentral:rRNA from 1 species